rnacentral:rRNA from 1 species
UACGGGGGGGGGCAAGCGUUGUUCGGAAUUACUGGGCGUAAAGGGCGCGUAGGCGGUUUGCUAAGUUGGAUGUGAAAACUCUGGGCUUAACCCAGAGCCUGCAUCCAAAACUGGCAAACUUGAGUACUGGAGGGGAAAGCGGAAUUCCUGGUGUAGCGGUGAAAUGCGUAGAUAUCAGGAGGAACACCGGUGGCGAAGGCGGGUCUCUGGGCCGAUACUGACGCUGAGGAGCGAAAGCGUGGGGAGCGAACAGG